rnacentral:rRNA from 1 species
AUGGGAAGAGGCGGCCAAGUCUAACACAUUGCAAGUCGAGCGGAUGAAGGGAGCUUGCUCCUGGAUUCAGCGGCGGACGGGUGAGUAAUGCCUAGGAAUCUGCCUGGUAGUGGGGGAUAACGUCCGGAAACGGGCGCUAAUACCGCAUACGUCCUGAGGGAGAAAGUGGGGGAUCUUCGGACCUCACGCUAUCAGAUGAGCCUAGGUCGGAUUAGCUAGUUGGUGGGGUAAAGGCCUACCAAGGCGACGAUCCGUAACUGGUCUGAGAGGAUGAUCAGUCACACUGGAACUGAGACACGGUCCAGACUCCUACGGGAGGCAGCAGUGGGGAAUAUUGGACAAUGGGCGAAAGCCUGAUCCAGCCAUGCCGCGUGUGUGAAGAAGGUCUUCGGAUUGUAAAGCACUUUAAGUUGGGAGGAAGGGCAGUAAGUUAAUACCUUGCUGUUUUGACGUUACCAACAGAAUAAGCACCGGCUAACUUCGUGCCAGCAGCCGCGGUAAUACGAAGGGUGCAAGCGUUAAUCGGAAUUACUGGGCGUAAAGCGCGCGUAGGUGGUUCAGCAAGUUGGAUGUGAAAUCCCCGGGCUCAACCUGGGAACUGCAUCCAAAACUACUGAGCUAGAGUACGGUAGAGGGUGGUGGAAUUUCCUGUGUAGCGGUGAAAUGCGUAGAUAUAGGAAGGAACACCAGUGGCGAAGGCGACCACCUGGACUGAUACUGACACUGAGGUGCGAAAGCGUAAGGGAGCAAACAGGAUUAGAUACCCUGGUAGUCCACGCCGUAAACGAUGUCGACUAGCCGUUGGGAUCCUUGAGAUCUUAGUGGCGCAGCUAACGCGAUAAGUCGACCGCCUGGGGAGUACGGCCGCAAGGUUAAAACUCAAAUGAAUUGACGGGGGCCCGCACAAGCGGUGGAGCAUGUGGUUUAAUUCGAAGCAACGCGAAGAACCUUACCUGGCCUUGACAUGCUGAGAACUUUCCAGAGAUGGAUUGGUGCCUUCGGGAACUCAGACACAGGUGCUGCAUGGCUGUCGUCAGCUCGUGUCGUGAGAUGUUGGGUUAAGUCCCGUAACGAGCGCAACCCUUGUCCUUAGUUACCAGCACCUCGGGUGGGCACUCUAAGGAGACUGCCGGUGACAAACCGGAGGAAGGUGGGGAUGACGUCAAGUCAUCAUGGCCCUUACGGCCAGGGCUACACACGUGCUACAAUGGUCGGUACAAAGGGUUGCCAAGCCGCGAGGUGGAGCUAAUCCCAUAAAACCGAUCGUAGUCCGGAUCGCAGUCUGCAACUCGACUGCGUGAAGUCGGAAUCGCUAGUAAUCGUGAAUCAGAAUGUCACGGUGAAUACGUUCCCGGGCCUUGUACACACCGCCCGUCACACCAUGGGAGUGGGUUGCUCCAGAAGUAGCUAGUCUAACCGCAAGGGGGACGGUAAUUCCAU